CACCGGCGGCCCGAGUGGUAAUCACUUUUAUUGGGUCUAAAGGGUCCGUAGCCGGUUUGAUCAGUUCUUCGGGAAAUCUGACAGCUUAACUGUUAGGCUUCCGGGGAAUACUGUCAGACUUGGGACCGGGAGAGGUAAGAGGUACUACAGGGGUAGGAGUGAAAUCUUGUAAUCCCUGUGGGACCACCAGUGGCGAAGGCGUCUUACCAGAACGGGUCCGACGGUGAGGGACGAAAGCUGGGGGCACGAACCGG
rnacentral:rRNA from 1 species